GAUGAACGCUGGCGGCGUGCCUAAUACAUGCAAGUCGAGCGAACAGACGAGGAGCUUGCUCCUCUGACGUUAGCGGCGGACGGGUGAGUAACACGUGGAUAACCUACCUAUAAGACUGGGAUAACUUCGGGAAACCGGAGCUAAUACCGGAUAAUAUAUUGAACCGCAUGGUUCAAUAGUGAAAGACGGUUUUGCUGUCACUUAUAGAUGGAUCCGCGCCGCAUUAGCUAGUUGGUAAGGUAACGGCUUACCAAGGCAACGAUGCGUAGCCGACCUGAGAGGGUGAUCGGACACACUGGAACUGAGACACGGUCCAGGCUCCUACGGGAGGCAGCAGUAGGGAAUCUUCCGCAAUGGGCGAAAGCCUGACGGAGCAACGCCGCGUGAGUGAUGAAGGUCUUCGGAUCGUAAAACUCUGUUAUUAGGGAAGAACAAAUGUGUAAGUAACUAUGCACGUCUUGAAGGUACCUAAUCAGAAAGCCACGGCUAACUACGUG
rnacentral:rRNA from 1 species